UAUUACGUCAUAAUGAGACCACGAUUGUCACCUUUUUUCAUGUAUUGGUAUUGUUUUGUGCCUUGGUUUGAUUUGUGACAAAGAAUCCUACGUAACGGUGGUGUGGCGCGACUUGAAUAACGCCUUUGUGUCUGAGCUGUAUCGUCAGCUUGUUACGAUAGUAAUAAUUUGUAGCCUGUCGUGCUAUUUGGAGCAGUUUUUAAGGCAAAAGUGGUCUCUCAUACAGGUUUCGUCAUGAGGGCUACCCAGUGAAUAAUCUGUGCAGUGUGAUACGGCUGGGUGUACAGGUUACUUCACAGCUGCCUCGACAUACUCAAGAAAUGGAUGCAGAACCUGCGUAAUGCCCACAAACUUUGACUACCGCAGCACCCCCAGAUAGUAAAGGCAUAUGUGUCACAUGGGAUUUUUAAAGGCAUUCACAGUAUAUAAUACCUUGUAUGAACUGUUGUAGAUCUAAGCAGCCUCUACAGUACACUCUCAGAAAUUAAAACUUGUCAGGGAACUGUGAUAAUUGUUUCAGUUAAUAAGCAUGCACAUAUACGCUAUAAGAAGAAAAUUAUUUAUUGUGAAUGCACUUCUCUGGCUACUCAUGUUGUUUACAUCUACUGUUGAUCACAUUCAUUUAUCACAUGUUAUAUUCCUAUAUAUUAUUAUUAUAUUAUCACAUAUUCGAUCACAUUAAAUUUAAAAUUUAGCAUAUAUAAGAAAAUAUCAGGAGGGAAGUUGCUAUUCAUUGCUCAUUCCAACCUAAAAUUGAGAGAGCGUACCUGACCAUUGUUAUUCCUAAAAUAUAUAUUGCCAUUGUAGCAAGGUCACAAAACAAUAAAUGUAGUCUUUUGCGAC